CAACACACACAAACACUAAAGUUAUGAACAACCGCCACCAAUCUUUGAUUCUCUCUCUCGAAGAACAACUCUUCUUCAAAUUAUCCACCUUAUUCUUACACUGCUCCACACUCUUCGACUGAUUCUCACACCUCUCCCUAACCGCAGUGGAUACCUCUUCCCAAUCCCUAACCCCCAAAUUUCCACGGUUCAAUUGAACAAACUUCUCCAAAUAAGCAUCUAACAAGCACGCAAUCGCUGCGUCACUCCACUCUUCUCGAUCCUUCCUGUAAUCCGACGAAUUACUCACGAUUUUCACCUUCUUAUUGUAACUGUACGGCAGUGAACGGAGGUGGAGUAAAGGUGUUAGUGAACGUGUUUGGUUAGGGUUUGCAGCGGUCGGGGUUCAGGUAGUCGGAGAUGGUGGUUCUACGAUUGCCCCUCAAUUCAGCAUCUAAUCACAUUCGAUGUCCCUCAUUUAGGUUUGUCGAGAUGUGGAAAGAGUUGCAGGCUUUGGUGGAUGAAUUAUUUGCACCCAAAUGUGAAACCUGGUAAGUUUACAAAAGAAGAAGAAGAUAUGAUUAUCAGUUUAUAUAACAAGCUUGGCAAUAAAUGGUCAAAGAUGGCUAAACUAUUCCACUCUAAACAACCAUCGCUGCAGAGGACUAUCGGUGACAUAAAAACCUGGGAUUUCUCUGGAUAAAGCACAGAUCCAAGAAGGUGGCUUUGGACUGGGAAACAUGGAAUGGCUUUAAGUUAUACAAGGUUGGUUGGUAGAAAAAUGUCUGUACUGGUGAUUUAGUUAUGGUGGCAAUGUAAUGGUGUGUAAUGUA